AAAACAUGUUUUUAUCAAUAUCCCGUCUGUAAUCAUCAACAGAUUUCUGCCAGCCUAAUUUCCAGUCGGUAUUCCAUGACACACAUCACUAAAUUAGGUCUACAAUUUUUGUCGGUAGUCCAUUGGUGAUUUCCAUCGGUAAUUUUGGUUAGUAUUCACCAACUUUUUUAGGGGUGCAAUAUCCCUUAGACAAGAUCAAAAACCAAUUUAUUAAUUAUUCCAACAAUUUGUAUCGGAAGUCAUAAACGAAAAUCCCAUUGCAAACAUAUGUGUUAACACAAACUAAAUAUAACAUGUACUAAACAUUUCUAGUUGAUGGCUGCAGGAACAGUUCUAAUAUUUUUUGCUGUUCACGAAAAGUAAAAAAGACAGAAAUUUAGGAGAAGGCUGAGAAAUAUCAAACAAAAGCACUGAUCUUUAAGAUACAAGUGCUUUUCCUUCUUUCCCUUACCUUUGUUAUUUGGACAAUCAUUACACAUACCAUGAUACUAUAUAUAUAUAUAUAUANNNNNNNNNNNNNNNNNNNNNNNNNNNNNNNNNNNNNNNNNNNNNNNNNNNNNNNNNNNNNNNNNNNNNNNNNNNNNNNNNNNNNNNNNNNNNNNUAUACAUAUAUAUAUAUAUAUAUAUAUAUAUAUAUAUAUAUAUAUGAUCACUACCACUGACUAGUAGGAUACAAUCCUGAUAUUAAGCUCUCUCUCAGCAAACUCUGCAAGCUUUGGGAUCUCGUCCUUAUCAAUUACACCAUCGCCGUUGGUAUCUGCAUACUUCACGCGACGGUUUGCCUUCCAUUUUGCAAACCAGUUUCCACUAUUCUUGAGAGCUUCACGAAGCUCCUCUCGGCUAAUAACUCCAUCCUUAUUUGCGUCAAAGGAAAACAAAAAUUUUGUGAACUCUUCCAUUGUCAUCUCCGUCUUUCCAUCUUCACGACCACCGGGCUUAUAAUGCAAAUUAUUACGUCGAAGUGGACAAUGAACCAUCUCAAGGAUACCCUUAAUUUCUUUCUCUCUUGAUAGUAAAGUAUAUGUGAUGAGAUCUCAGCAGUUUGUAUAUAUAUAGAAUAGCUUGAUGCUUUAUCUGUUGUACGUAGUAAAAACGUAAGUGCGGUUUGCAAGAGAAUCUACCAAACUAAGAAAUGUGCAUGAGAAGCUUGUAACACGUGUAUCGGUAUGUCUUGAAGAUGAAGCUAAACAUAAAAAUUAUUGCAUACAUCACGCAUAUCACGUCAUCAUGGAAUCCAAAGUUGCGUCUAAUUAAAAUGUUUUUUGCUAAAAUUAAUUCAUCAAAGGUGGGUGUGUUAUGAUUAGGCCAACCGGUGUACGUAGCACGAAUACGUCCGUGGUCUAGUUGGCCACGAACCACGGACGUGCACACCGUCCCGGUGGUUCGUGGUCGACCGUUUUCGUUGCAAAUUGUGGUCGGGACAACGAAAUGAAACGACGAUUGCUAUUGGUUGUUUAUUUUGAGCCGUUGAACGGCUAUUUUGGCCGUUCCUUUUUUUUUUUCAAACUCAAUUUAUAAAAACUCAAUUAUAAAAACUCAAUACCAAAACACAUACACAUACAUAUACAUUCUACACUCAACCUAUGGAUCCCUCGAUAAAUAUGGAAUUUUUAAAAAGUUUUGACUCGGAUGACGACGUAGAAUUCGUCGAGACAUUCUUCAAUGUUGUGCAACACGUUCACGCCGAAGAAAGUUCGAAUGCAGCGCGUACAAGGACGGUCGUCAAUCGUGAUCGCCAAGCCGCACACAACUUAUUGUACGUGAUUACUUUGCCGAUAAUUGUCUUUAUAAUGACGACUCGUUCGAACGUCGUUUUCGUCUGAAUAAGGCUAUAUUUUUACGUAUUAGUAAUGCUUUAGAAUCUCGUUAUGAUUUUUUCAAACAAAAACUCGACGCUAGAGGAAGAAUGAGUUUUAGUAGUAUACAAAAAUGUGCGGCUGCUCUUAGGUAUUUGGGAUACGGUAUAGCAUUUGAUGCAUCUGACGAAUACUUGAAAAUAUCCGAGAGGACCGCGGUUGAAUGUGUAGAUUGGUUUUCUGCAUGUGUUUAUGAGGUUUUUCACGAAGAAUAUUUGCGUAAACCUACUCAACGUGAUAUUGAGAGAUUAUAUUCGGCUCAUGAAGAGAGGCAUGGAUUUCCCGGUAUGCUUGGCAGUCUAGAUUGUACGCAUGUGGCUUGGGAAAAAUGUCCAACUGCAUGGCGUGGUCAGUUCACUCGAGGAGAUAUAGGUGAACCAACUAUCAUCCUAGAAGCUGUUGCAUCUCAAGAUUUGUGGAUAUGGCAUGCCUUUUUUGGAGUAGCGGGGUCUAACAACGACCUUAAUGUUCUUGGUCAGUCUCCACUUUUCAACGAUAUUUGGACCGGCAAAGCACCUGAUAUGACGUUCACGGUAAACGGGCACGCGUACAAAUAUGGUUACUACCUUGGUGAUGGGAUAUACCCGGAUUAUUCUACAUUGAUGAAGGCAUACUCAGUUCCUCGAAGUGAAAAAGCAAAAUUGUUUACAAAAAAACAGGAAUCAGCGAGAAAGGAUAUCGAGAGGGCAUUUGGAGUCCUUAAGCAAACAUGGCAUGUAGUGAAAUAUGCUACACGACUUUGGGAUAAAGAAAGAAUUAAGCGAAUGGUCCUAGCAUGUAUUAUAAUGCAUAAUAUGAUUAUUGAAAAUGAAGGUCGAGCGAUUUGCACGUAUGAUCCGAACGACGUUGUCGUUCCAAUUGAGGAGUUCGUACCCGGAACGAAUGCUUUUUUGGACCGAGUUGUCGAAAUUCAUAACAGUGAAACGUGUUUCAAUCUUCGAGAAGAUGUCGCGGAACAUUUGUACCAACAUAGCAUGAACGACGAUUAGGAUUUUUAUAUGUAUGUUUGUUCGUUUUCUUAUUAAUGUAAUGUUUGUUUUCUAGAUUAACUAAGUAAUGUAGUUUAAAAUUGUUAUUUUAUUUUUAUAAUUAAUGAAAAAAUAGUUUUAAAAAAAUAAAUGCUUUUUACUUUUAAAAAUUGUAAUUUUAUUUUAAUUUUUGGAUUAAAAAAAAGUAAUGUUAUUGUAUUUUUGAAUUAAAAAAAAGUUAUUUUAUUGUAUUUUUGAAUUGAAAAAAAAUAAAAAUAAUGAUGUGGAGUGGUGUAUUAGUGGUAAGUAUCUCAUGUUAGUGGUAAUGGAAUGUGGUGCUGAUGUGGCACCCACCACAUAUGUGGUAUGUGGUGGGUAUAACGGAUGGUCUUACUUAUGGUAGUUUUAAAAACAUAUUAUUUUAUUCUUUUUUUUUUAAUGUAGAGUAUGACUAAGGAUGAUACUUCAUCUUAAACCACUCAGAUUACGACGCGUAAAAAAUAAAAAUAAAAAUAAAAUAAAAAAUCAUUGCAUUUACACCAUUCACUUAGGACUUGGGAGAUAUAUUCUUUUUUGAUAUGAUAACGAAUAUGAUACACAUCGCGGGUAAGAACGAGAGAAUAUUCCAUCAAUGAGUUUCAAGUUUAAGGCUUCCAGUAUCUGUAUCAUCUUUUUUACUUUUGAGACAUUUAUGAUUUUCAUUACCUUAUGUUCAUUGGUGGAUUCAACAUUCUAAGAUGAGGGUCCAGACCCCAGCAAAAUUUUAUGGGCCAAGAUUUAGGCUAUCGGAAGUGGAAAGAGAAAGACGUGUGGGAGCUGACAUGUCAGCCCCCUUCACGCGUGAACACCGCCCCACCUUCUGGUGGGUGUCUUGUUCCGUGGAGCUGGAGACGAGUGAAGAGAGGUGAUUUGAUUGGGGGAAAACUUUUUGACCGUUGCUGCUCUUGACCGUUUGUAAAAGAAAUAAUAAUAAUUAAUUAAUUACUAACAAUCAUUUCUCUAUAUAUAUCAACAUAUUUUUACCUUUCAAACACACACCAAACUUUGAACACAAACACAUAUACUCUCACUCAAAAAAUACACUUUCCUCCAUGGAUCCAAACCAAAAUAACCCACCCACCCCGAACACCCCAAACACUCCAAAUGAUCCGUUAGCGAACAUUGGCUAUAUACAAUUGUUAUCAUCCCCCGUUCAACAACAACCUCUAUUCACCAAUCUUUCAUACCACCCACACUUCUACCAACAACAACCACCACCACAAUUUGUUCAAUCCCAAUUUCAACCCUUUCAACAAGAACCUCCUCCGCGAUUUCAGCCCCAAACUUCCCAACAUCCACAACUAGGUUCACAACCAUCUCAAGUUCCAUUAUCGCAAUCUUAACCCGUAAACCUCGACAUUGAAGACGACGACGAACAGGUUCAAGAAACACAACCAAGUCGUAGAAGGCAAAAAAAAUCAAAAGAUUCAACAAAGAAGAAAAAUACCCAAUGGACCGAGAAAGAGGAUGCAGCUUUAGCUAAAUCUUGGAUUGUCAUAUCACAAGACGGGGAUGUCGGCAACGCGCAAUCGGGACAAAGAUUUUGGAAUCGUGUUUUAGACCACUUCCAUGUGUUAUUGGGAAGGCAAACGAGCCGGACAUAUGAUUCAGUCAAUGCUAAAUGGCGCGAUCUUAAAGCGACGUGUACCAAAUUUAACGGCGUAUUUGACAAUCUAAAAAAUAUGCAUCGAAGUGGUAGCAACGAUUUAAAUAUUUUUUCAACGGCGUUGCACCAAUACAAAAUUACCAACAAUGGUAAACCUUUUGACAACCAAAAAGUGUGGGAAGUUUAUCGCAAUGACCCAAAAUGGGUCCUUCAUCCGGAAACGGCGCAUUCGGGAUCUACCACCGGUUCCAACAAAAGGCCUAGAACGUCCGAGUCGAACAUCGGUGCUAACCUCGACCUCAAUGAUGAGUUCGAUGCCACCGAGGGGGAGGGUCCAUCGGACGUCCAUCUUCGUCGACCACCGGGUAAGGACAAAGCGAGAAAGGGGGCUUCGUCUAGCGGGAAAUCAACCAACGAGGACGUAUUAGCGGAGAAAAUCGAAAAAACUCUACAUUUUUUAGAAAAAAAAUUUGAUUCAACGGAGGAGCAACGCCGGCGACAAUUGGCACUCACUAAUCUUCAAAUCGUAAACACAGUUCCACAACCAAAUCUUGACCCGGAAAAUUUAAGGGUGUUUAUGAAAAUUCAACAAAAAAUUUUCGACCAAUAUCGCAACUAGAUUUGAUGUUUUUUAAUAAUUCAGGUUUAAUUUUCUAAGUAUGGAUUAUGUUUUUUUAGUAUUUUAGUUUUAAUUUUCUAUGUUUUAAAUUAUGUAAUGUAGUUUUAAUUAAUAUAAAACAUGUUAUUUAUAAAAUGUUAUUUAUAAAAUAUGUUAUUUAUUUAAUAUGUUAUUUAUUUAAUAUUAUGCUAAAAAAUUAAAAAUAAAAUAAAAAAGUAAAUGUUGUUAGUGGUGACCAUUUCCAUAGUGGAGUGAGUUGGUGGUGAAGGUGAUGUGGUGCAGAGGUGACACCAUUUUUCGGAUGAGUUUGUAGUGACCACUCCACAUGGGCUUAUGAUAAUAAAAUGUGAAAUUUAAUUUAAAAUUUAUAAAAGAGGAUCUCAAUGCUUUGUAUAAUUAGUAAUCACGUAAAUUUUAUUUAGUUCUAAAUGAGUAUCAUUUUUUCUUAAUUUGUGAUGGACUUGCACUUUUUUUAUACGGGUGCAAACCGGAUGUGUAUGAACCCGACUAUUUGCCUCGGAUAUUAACCAAUGCUCGCCUGUCUAUCUUUUUUUUUUUUUUUUAUGAUAAAUUAAAUAUCUUCCUAUUUAAAUUUAUUUCUACUAAAUUUUUUAACCAUUUCACAUAUUAAAUGAUGACAUAUGAAAUGAUGACAAGUGUUUUAAAACAUUAUUAAUUUUAUCAAAAUAUAACAAUUGUAAAACUUGUCACCAUUUGAUAAGGGUAAAAAAAUAAGUAUGAAAAAAAAUAUUUUUUUUCUUAAAUAUUUAUUGAAAAUGAAUUGUAAAGGCCCUAAUUUUAAAUGAGAAAAUGAUCAUAAUAAUCAAAAUUUUCAAAGGUUUUUUUAUAAAAUAUUCAAAAAUCAAAAACUUGAUCGUUAAUAUAGUCAUAAUUAUUGAAAAAACAUGUGCUAUUUACAAAUGAAUUGUAAAAACCCUAUUUUUACACGAAAAAAUUACUAUAAUAGUUAAAUUUGUCAAGCAUGUUCCAUAAAAUAAGCAAAAAUUAUAAAAUGAUCAUAACAGCAUCAAUUUUUGUAGAUAUUAUCAGUUAUAAUGUUGAUGGCCCGUGAUUAUUUAUUUAUUUAUUUAUUUUGAGAUUUUCAUAGGUUACACCUACUAAAAUCUAGAUCAUUACACAUGAGAAAAUCUAGAUCGCAUGUGGGAUUUUUUUUAUAGAAAUUUCAAUCGGCACUUUUGAAAAUGUAGGUGGCCUGUGAUUUAUUUAUUAAUUAUUUUUGAGACUUUUACAGUUCAUCGUUGUGAUUGAUAUAACUUAGGUUUUUUUUUAACCAGCAAAUAUAAUAUAAAUAAUCUACUCCUAAAUUAACACUUAAAUCCACCUAUAUGUCCACGACGGGACUUGAACCCUCGACGUCAAGGAGGAAGGGCACCACCUGAUACCACUGGGCUAGAAGCCCUUUGGUUGAUAUAACUUAGGUGGUGUGAUGAUUGUUAUAAAGUUUGUAUUUGAAAAUUAUUAAGUUUUAUACAUAAUUUUCACCAAUGAGCUUACGUUGAGCUAAAAAAUAUGAUUUUACGGCAUCCAAGUUAAGAGUGUAAUAGGAUCAUGGAUAGCUCUUGUUGCAAAGAACACAAUGAAAAAAAAUCAACUGAAACAAAGUUUGUAUGCGAAAUUUAUGAUGGAUCGAAGUUGUUUUUUUUCCAUAUUUUUUAUCGAGUAACCUACUUUGGAGUUAACAGAAGUAUGACUUUCCAACAUCUAAAUUUGAAGCGUAACAUGUCAAUGAAAAACAUUAUUACAAAAACACAAUUAAAAAAAUUCAGCUCAAACACAAUUUGUAUGAAAAAAAUUGUGAAGGAUCAAAGUUAGAAAAAAAAAUCUCAUGCACCUGUGAAAAUGAGAAUCGUGACUAUUUUUGGCAUUUAUGAAUUUUUUGGCUGUUUUAUCUUUGAAAAGUUGGGUAUUAUGUCGUUUUCUCUUUUUACAAAUUAAAAUGGGAAUAACCUAAUUUUUGCAAAAAAAAAAAAAAUAAAAAAUAAAAAACUCUUGUUAAUGUAUAGAGAAAUUGAAAAGAGCUUGAGCUCUAUAAACUAAAUGCUUUUAAGUAUUAUUAGGAAAAAGGUUAAAUGGACCAGUGAGAUCCUACACUUCGCAUGAAGGAAGCUGCAGCCUAUUCAAACUAGUUGCAUCAUGUUCAAACUAAAGUUACUUGAUAGUAAGUUUACAUUUGAGAGCAAAUUGAAUAAGCUUCUCCAUCUCCCCCUCACUAAUAUACCCAUCUUCAUUAUCAUCAGCUUGCAACAUUGCACGAUCUGUAGUCCAGGAUACCCAACUCACGCCAAGAUCAAUAAAAGCUUGUUUCAGCUCAUCCCAUGAAAGUCGGUUGUCUUUGUUGACAUCAUGUCGUUUGAAGAAAGCUAGCAAUUCUUGUUCGUUGAGUUUCAUGGGUAAUUUCUCCCAAAUCUCUCCAAGUAUGUGAAAUCUCUCCCAAAUCUCUCUCGAAAGUCCCUUUAACUUUUUCUAAUCAUUUCGGGCAUUCCGACACUUAACUUGGUGAAAAAUGGCGCAAAACGGGAAGAAUUCUUGAAAAAUAGCCUUAAAGAACUGAAACCAUCCUUAAGGGGGCGAAGCCUCUUGGGCCAAACAAGGAAGGACCGAAACCGAACUGCUGAGGACCGAAUCUUCUGAACUGAACCCGAAGUCUCGGGCCCGAACCUCAUAUAGACCGAACCCGAAGGUCCUCUCGGACCGAACUCUACCUUCGCCUUCGCUCCAUUUCGGGUCCAAACCACUUUCACCUUCGGUCCAUGACUAGAAGGGACCCAACCUCGGCCCAGAACCGAGAGGUCUCGCAGGUAGGACAAAUUCACCCGGUUUUCGACUAGUUUUGCAUUUUAAGUCCGUUUUUAAUUAUUUUAACGCGAGAUUUUCACCCAAAAAUUUAUUUUAACAUAUAAGGCUCCAUAUUUAUUAAUUAAUCACGUUUUUGGGAAUAAAUCUUAUCCAAGAAGAGUGGGUGAAGUACUAGAGGAGGAGUGUUGACUUUUCUUUAUGACACAAGCAACCACCCAUACCCACUCUAUGACCAACCCACACCCCUCUCCACCAUACCUAGUCACUUCCUUGUACUUUUCCAUCAAUCUCCAGCAAUUCCUACGUCCUAAGAGCUGGAAAACUCACCCUCUCUCCUCAUUGUUGGGAAUAAAACCCUAAUUGAGAUUUGAUGAACAAGAUGCGGAAAAUAAGAACAAACACAAAUAUGAAGAUUAUGUCAAAUGAUCACUCGAUUUAUUCAAAUAUGAGGAAUAAAUUACACUUUCAGCAUAGACUAAAGAAUCUAACACUACAUAAGAAACCUCACGUGGCGGCUACAUUUUGCCUCACUCUUAACCCUAAUUGUGAAUAAUACAUGACUAUUUAUAGGGAAAAGACAAGUCUUGGGCUUUUAACCUAGAAUUCAUCAAAGGGUCCCAUUGUCAUCAUCCAUGGAGUGCUUUGAAACCCUACACUCAUUCUCACUCAUUUCUCUCAUUUCCACCCAAAGAGCAAACAUCUUUUCUCUCAACUUCUCUCUUUCAAUUCUGAGAUUUCCAAGACUUUUCUUCUUCAUUUGGUAAGUAUCAUCAUCUUUCAUAUGAUUAUUACACUUCUUCACUCAAAUCAUGAGUUCCUUACACAAAUAUCAUCAUAUUUGUUGUUAGAUCUUCGAAAUCUUCAAGCAUCAUCUAAGUGUUCUUGAGUCGAACACUUCUUUACUUCAUCAUCCAUCUACUGAAAUCACUCAAGGUGAGUUCAUACCCCUAUAUUUUCAUGUUUUCUUCAAGUUUUAGGGGGGGGGAAUACAAGUUAAAACACCAAGAACACAACUAAACUCAAACAACAACUUUCAUCAGAAAAGUUGAGUCUUAUUCACAGACUGUUUUGACUAUCUUAAACUUAAUAUCUUUCAAAAUUGUUUAAUAUUCAAAUCGUUUAGGUUCAUACCUUUAAAAUGACUACUUGAACAUCUCCAUACGAUUUUUCUACGAUUUAUGGUGAUUUUUACAAAACUACCUAUCAUUUCAAAAACGAAUUCGGACCAGUCUGUGAAUAUGAACAUUUUAACACAAGUUAAAGACUUCCAAAAAUCAUAAUAAAAAUUAUGAAUAAGCUAGACAUAUUUUAUGAACUCUCAGAAUUUACGGAUUCAGUUUUUGACUUCGUUUGAUGUUUCUAUGAUUUUUCUAAAACAGUGCAGAAAGGUUAAAAACUAGUUAACAACUUAUAACUUUCAUAACACUUUGUAUUAUGUUGAGCAAAGUGUAUAACAAUAAGUUCUAAAUAUUGAAUAUGUUUUCUUGUUGGUUUAUCAUCAUAAACUAAAAUUUAGUCAUUCGUGAUAAGAUUAUUCAUUCAUUUAGAACACAUAUAAUAAGCUAUAAUAAGCAUAGUUUAUGGAUUCAUAACACUAAUGUAUUUUCAUGAAAGAGUUCUUUUACAUUACAAACGUUUUGAAUAAACUAUAAUAGGUAUAGUUUAUGUAUCAUUUACAUUUCAAACUUAUUUACCAAAGGUUUUCAGUUCAGUUCACGUAAAUCUGUUAAUGAAUAAAUUUCUGAGUCAUUCCCUCUGUAUUACCUUCAUGGUAACAAAGUCAAAAGUCAUGUAAAUUGUAACCAGAGCUGCUUGCAACAGCUAGACCGGCAGGUCUGAGGUGACAAGUGUCAUUUAACGUGCAACGCCUGAAGAACGUCGUAUUACAAGGCCGUCUGAGUCUUAGCAUGGUUAUAAUAGCUCACAUGUGGUAUUAACAAAUCAUAAGAUUUACGGGUUCUACUUUCAAAUUAGCGAGUUAUAACAAUUUAACUCACAUAAAUUACUUUAAGUAUGGAAAAAUACUUCUACACUUUUAUAUCAAAAAGGAUUUUAUGCCGAUUUAAAAUCACUUUUAUAUCUUUAAGUAUGGAAAAAUACUUGUUUAUUUUCGGUCCUAGGAUUUACGACUACCUAACUCUUAUAAGGAAAAUAUUGGAUUUUUUUGAAAACAUAUUUCUGUUAAAACUACAUUCAUCUAGAAUUGUUAGGCUUUGGCUAUAAUUGCUAAGUGUAUAUGUUAGAGUUAUAUAAGAAUCUAUUCAUAAUCGACUUAGAAUUGGUGGGCUCGCCUUUCUUCCUGUUCCUUGUUUGGUUGUGGACCUAGGGCAGACUCAUUAUAUUCGAUGGUUUAUUUAAUUUAAAUUUUAUAUAACUUAAAUACAUUGGGUGAUUAUAGAAGGAAUCUACGGGUCUUUCUAGGGUUCAUUAUCGCAUAAUAUAGAAGCAUUCAUUUCACACUUAACAUAGAAAAUAUUGGGUUUUCUGGAAACAUACUUUGUCGCUUUUACAAAGAAAACGGUUUCUUUCUCAAACAAAACUCUUAUGAACUCACCAACUUAAUUGUUGACACUUUUUCAAAACUACUUGUAUUCUCAGGAAAUCAGUGAAACAGGAAAACAACAGCAUUUUGAGGAUGGGACGUUAAAUCGUUAAACAGUUCAUUUUGUCAUCAUAAUGUAAUUGAUUUUGAAACAUGUAAACUUACUAUGAUGUAAAAUUUUCAAUUAUAUUUAUGAUGGUUGUAUUUACUUUGAGCACUAUUAUACUCGUUGUUGUGAUACUAUACAUGAAGUCCUCCACCCCCGAACGUUUUCGCCAUCCUUGGUUUGGGGGUGUGAUAAGUCACAAAACCUGUAACCAUCCGAAUUGUUCUUUCUAUUACCCUCUCAAACAACUGGCCCCUACGACAACUCGAUGUCAACAAUGCCUUUCUUCAAGGCACUCUCCAUGAAGACGUCUAUAUGACUCAACUCCCCGGUUACAUUGAUUCCCAAUUCCCACAUCACAUCUGUAAACUAAAAAAAAUCUAUCUAUGGUCUCAAGCAAGCUCCCAGAGCAUGGAAAAUUGAGCUCACAACCUUUCUCACUCAGUUUGGGUUCACCAAAUCUUUAGCCGAUGUCUCUCUGUUCAUUUACAAGAAUCACAAAACCAUCUGCUACUUCCUAGUCUAUGUGGACGAUAUCGUUCUCACUGGUAAUACUCUACCUUCCUAACUCACUUCAUUUCUGCUCUCAGCAAUAAAUUCUCCUUGAAAGAUCUUGGUCCGCUUCACCACUUUCUUGGUGUUUAAGUCAUCCCUACCACCACUGGUAUUUUCGUAUCUCAGCAUCAGCAUAUUCUGGAUAUUCUUACCCAAUUUCAUAUGGAUGGAGCCAAAGAUGUUACUACUCCCCUCAGUGCCACUGAACCACUUGUCACAAUUGACUCUACUCCUACCAUUGAUGCCACCCCAUACCGCAAACUAGUUGGAUCUCUCCAAUAUCUAGCCUUUACUCGCCCAGACAUCUCCUAUGCCAUAAACAAACUUUCAUAAUACAUGCAUGCUCUACGCCAAUCUCAUUGGCAAGCUCUCAAAAGACUUCUUCGUUAUCUCAAAGGCACAAUUCACUAUGGCCUUUUCCUCAACCGUCACUCUCCUCUUCAACUCACGGCCUUCUCCGAUUCCGAUUGGGGUGGUGUUCACGAUGCAGGUAGUUCAACAACUGCUUAUAUCCUUUAUCUUGGAUCUAACAUUGCUUCAUGGCCAUCUACACGUCAAAAGUCGGUAUCCCGGUCCUCCACCGAAGCGGAAUAUAAAGACUUAGCAAAUGCAGCAGCAGGACUCUCUUGGUUAAAGAAUCUACUACACGAGUUAGGUAUCACAGUCAAAACAGCACCCACUCUAUUUUGUGAUAACACUGGUGCUACCUACGUUUGUGCAAAUCUUGUGUAUCAUUCACGCAUGAAGCAUGUAGCUCUUGAUUAUCAUUUUGUACGAAAACAAGUUUCAAGUGGUCAUCUACGAGGUCUUCACAUUCACUCUCAAGACCAACUAGUUGAUAUGCUCACCAAGCCCUUAUCUAGAGCUCCGUUUUUGCGCAAUCGAUCCAAGAUUGGUGUAUCCGAUGGAUCCUCCAUCUUGCGGGGGCGUAUCAAGGAUAAUGGACCCAUCAACUCCAUUAGCCCAUCAUAAUUCAUUAUAUCAUUAUAAUCACGUUGUAAUUACUUAGUCUUCUACAUUUAGUUUAGUUCCUAUACUUACUCCUGUAAAAGUGGAUCUCCGCAACCUCUAUUGUAAUCUACCUAUAAAUGGCGUGUAUACCUUUUAAUACAAUUAAGUAAUUACAUCAUAUCAAUAUUCCUUUAUAGACUCGUUUGACUUUGUUUAUCCAUAUUAUUGACAAAAUACGAUGGAGACAUUUCCCAAUGUAAAUGUUGCCACUAAUUCGGCGGAAUUUGAAUUUAUUUAAAAAGAAUUUUUAAUUUAUUUGAAGAUUCAAGUGUUUUUUCGUCAAUAUACGAAAAGAAAAAGUCGCUACUAAACCUAUGUUCAUAAUCAUCACAUUCAAAAACAAACCUAAAUAAACAUUAAAAUAAAAAUGUCAAAUACAUAAACUUGUCCUGAUUUAGUUAAAUAGUGUCAAGUGUUUACCUACAGUAUAUAUCUUUAUUUUUUUUAUUUUCCAAACAUUAAUAAUAAUAAUAAUAAUAAUAAUAAUAAUAAUAAUAAUAAUAGAAAUUGGAAACAAAAUAUAUCUUAAAGGCUUAUUUAAGUCUGUAUAUUUCGGAAGAGGCAUAAUAGCUGAAAUGGUUGGUCUAAACCCCACAACAAUCAAACCGACUUCUAGUCUAACGGUAUUAGGUGUUGUCUUCCCUCUUAAAAGUUGAGAGUUCAAGUCUCGUCUGGGACAUAAAUAAUAUUAAGAAUAUGUUAGUCAAAUUUGUUGUUCCAAAAAAUAUAAAAAUGAAAACCAAAAUAAAGCCCCACAGCGUUUGGGUCGGGUUCGAGCCCCGGCAAUACAUUUUUAAGGAUUGAGUCCAACUCAUGGAUUUGUAGUGGCCCAAACAAAUAUGUUUUCAUCAGUAUUCCGUCUGUAAUCAUCAACAGAUUUAUGACAACCUAAUUUGUCUGUAAUCAUCAACAGAUUUCUGAUGGCCUAAUUUCCAGGCGGUAUUCCGUGACACACUCACUAAAUUAGGUCUAUAAUUUUUUGUGGGUGGUCCGUUGGUGAUUUCCAUCGGUAAUUUUAGUUAGUAUUCACCAACUUUUUUAGGGAUGCAAUAUCACUUCUCGAGUCCCUUAGACACGAUCAAAAACCAAUUUAUUAAUUAUUCCAACAAUUUGUAUCGGAAGUCAUAAACAAAAAUCCCAUUGCAAACAUACGUGUUAACACAAACUAAAUAUAACACGUACUAAACAUUUCUAGUUGAUGGCUGCAGGAACAGUUCUAAUAUUUUUUGCUGUUCACGAAAAAUAAAAAAGACAGAAAUUUAGGAGAAGGCUGAGAAAUAUCAAACAAAAGCACUGAUCUUUAAGAUACAAGUGCUUUUCCUUCUUUCCCUUACCUUUGUUAUUUGGACAAUCAUUACACAUACCAUGAUACUAUAUAUAUAUAUAUAUANUAUACAUAUAUAUAUAUAUAUAUAUAUAUAUAUAUAUAUAUAUAUGAUCACUACCACUGACUAGUAGGAUACAAUCCUGAUAUUAAGCUCUCUCUCAGCAAACUCUGCAAGCUUUGGGAUCUCGUCCUUAUCAAUUACACCAUCGCCGUUGGUAUCUGCAUACUUCAUGCGACGGUUUGCCUUCCAUUUUGCAAACCAGUUUCCACUAUUCUUGAGAGCUUCACGAAGCUCCUCUCGGCUAAUAAGUCCAUCCUUAUUUGCGUCGAAGGUAAACAAAAAUUUUGUGAACUCUUCCAUUGUCAUCUCCGUCUUUCCAUCUUCAGGACCACCAGGCUUAUAUUUCAAAUUAUUAUGUCGAUGAACCAUCUCAAGGAUACCCUUAAUUUCUUUCUCUCUUGAUAGUAAAGUAUAUGUGAUGAGAUCUCAGCGGUUUGUAUAUAUAUAGAAUAGCUUGAUGCUUUAUCUGUUGUACGUAGUAAAAACGUAAGUGCGGUUUGCAAGAGAAUCUACCAAACUAAGAAAUGUGCAUUAGGAGCUUGUAACACGUGUAUCAGUAUGUCUUGAAGAUGAAGCUAAACACAAAAAUUAUUGCAUACAUCAUGCACAUCACGUCAUCAUGGAAUCCAUAGUUGCGUCUAAUUAAAA
rnacentral:lncRNA from 1 species